rnacentral:rRNA from 1 species
CCAGACUCCUACGGGAGGCAGCAGUGAGGAAUAUUGGUCAAUGGGCGGAAGCCUGAACCAGCCAAGUCGCGUGAGGGGAUAAGGCCCUACGGGUCGUAAACCUCUUUUGCCGGGGAGCAAGGGCGGGGACGUGUCCCGGCCCGGAGAGUACCCGGAGAAAAAGCAUCGGCUAACUCCGUGCCAGCAGCCGCGGUAAUACGGAGGAUGCGAGCGUUAUCCGGAUUUAUUGGGUUUAAAGGGUGCGCAGGCGGUCUGUUAAGUCAGCGGUCAAAGCCCGGGGCUCAACCCCGGUCCGCCGUUGAAACUACAUCCCUUGAGUGCGCGAGAAGUAUGCGGAAUGCGUGGUGUAGCGGUGAAAUGCAUAGAUAUCACGCAGAACUCCGAUUGCGAAGGCAGCAUACCGGCGCGCAACUGACGCUCAUGCACGAAAGCGUGGGUAUCGAACAGGAUUAGAUACCCUGGUAG